rnacentral:rRNA from 1 species
GAUGAACGCUGGCGGCGUGCCUAACACAUGCAAGUCGAGCGUGAUCGAUAUGAGUGGAGACUUCGGUUGAAGCGAGUAACAUGAAAGCGGCGGACGGGUGAGUAACGCGUGGGCAACCUGCACCAUACACGGGAAUAGCCACUGGAAACGGUGAUUAAUGCCCGAUAAGACCACAGUACCCCAUGGUACAGCGGCCAAAGAUUUAUCGGUAUGGGAUGGGCCCGCGUCUGAUUAGCUAGUUGGUGAGGUAACGGCUCACCAAGGCGACGAUCAGUAACCGACCUGAGAGGGCGGACGGUCACACUGUAACUGAGACACGGUCCAGACUCCUACGGGAGGCAGCAGUGGGGAAUAUUGCACAAUGGGCGCAAGCCUGAUGCAGCAACGCCGCGUGAGUGAAGAAGGCCUUCGGGUCGUAAAGCUCUGUCCUGUGGGACGAAACAAAUGACGGUACCACAGGAGGAAGCCCCGGCUAACUACGUGCCAGCAGCCGCCGCCG